rnacentral:rRNA from 1 species
AGUGAACGCUGGCGGUAGGCCUAACACAUGCAAGUCGAACGGCAGCACAGUAAGAGCUUGCUCUUACGGGUGGCGAGUGGCGGACGGGUGAGGAAUACAUCGGAAUCUACUUUUUCGUGGGGGAUAACGUAGGGAAACUUACGCUAAUACCGCAUACGACCUACGGGUGAAAGCAGGGGAUCUCCGGACCUUGCGCGAUUGAAUGAGCCGAUGUCGGAUUAGCUAGUUGGCGGGGUAAAGGCCCACCAAGGCGACGAUCCGUAGCUGGUCUGGGAGGAUGAUCAGCCACACUGGAACUGAGACACGGUCCAGACUCCUACGGGAGGCAGCAGUGGGGAAUAUUGGACAAUGGGCGCAAGCCUGAUCCAGCCAUACCGCGUGGGUGAAGAAGGCCUUCGGGUUGUAAAGCCCUUUUGUUGGGAAAGAAAUCCAGCCGGCUAAUACCUGGUUGGGAUGACGGUACCCAAAGAAUAAGCACCGGCUAACUUCGUGCCAGCAGCCGCUGUAA